rnacentral:tRNA from 2 species
GGAGAGAUGGCUGAGUGGUCGAAAGCGGCAGAUUGCUAAUCUGUUGUACAUAACUUUUUGUACCGAGGGUUCGAAUCCCUCUCUCUCCU